AUGAAAAAAAGCCUCCUGCUGUAGCAUUUCUUGCUUUUGGGAACUUCCAGGGCAAGCUACUGCUGGGGAGAAAGGCACCAUGGUUCUGUGUCCUCAUUCAGAGGGCUAGGCAUCCCAAGACAAGAGCCAUCUCUGACCAUCCCUCUUGCUUGCUAUGCUGUACAGUGCUAUCCCAGUUCCCGAGUAAACACAGAAAGAGAAAACAAUAAUAGGGGCGAGGUGCAUAGCAAAACUGGUUCUUGGUAACUAGAGUAAAGUUUCCACAUUUUAUGAUGAUGACAUAGUGCAGUGCUGGCUCCAGGAAUCAUGGAAGAGGGGAGGGACAUGGGAAAUUUUGUUGAUGUGAACUCAAACAUCAUUGGUCACCUGGUGUGGAUUCCAAAGUAUUUAGGAUUUCAGUUCCUACUUGAGGAAAACUGAGACCUUUCUCAAAGGUUUCUGACAGGGAAGAAUGGUGCCAGGGUGUGUUGGUAAAUGUUUAACAACCAGCGUUCUGAACAAAGAAAAAGGCUUGUUAUGUAAUGUUUGCCAACUUCUUUGAUGUGGACACCCCCCGACUUGGCUGAUUUAAAACUACCAAGGUGACAUCACCAUCCUGGCGUGGCAGUGGUGCACAGCAGUGAGUCCUGGAGGUCAUCACACCAUCUGGAGACAGCAGCUAAGAGCUCAAGAGCAGAGAGAGAGUGCAGGCUGAAAGCACAUGAACCUGGCAGCCAGAGAGCAUGGUGGAUGUGAAUUCUUCAACAGCAGAGGCAACAGUUCAGAGCCAGUACCCAAGACUAUGUGGAUCAAGCCUCCCAGGAAGACACCAACCAAAGUAGAGCAUGGCAGGUGGACCAUAGCUCUUUCUCUGAAGCUAGGCCCCAAGAAUUCACACUGCCUCCAGAGAGGAGGAGAGAAGAAAAUGAGGAGGAGAAGAAUCUUGGAAAUGCCAAACUUCUUGGACUGAACUGAGGAAACCCACAAAAUUACAUAUUGUAUUUAUUAAAUUGUUUGACAUUAGGUUAGUGAUCAAAAUAGAUAAUCAAAAUAAAGUUCCAUUUUACAGAUCUCAGUUUUGUGGGCAUAAAGUAUACAUCUGCU
rnacentral:lncRNA from 1 species